rnacentral:tRNA from 1 species
UGCCGGAGUGGUUAUCGGGCAUGAUUAGAAAUCAUGUGCGCAGGUUCGAAUCCUGU